GUAUAAGCAAUUAUACCGUGAAACUGCGAAUGGCUCAUUAAAUCAGUUAUCGUUUAUUUGAUAGUACCUUACUACUUGGAUAACCGUGGUAAUUCUAGAGCUAAUACAUGCUAAAAACCCCAACUUCGGGAGGGGUGUAUUUAUUAGAUAAAAAACCAACGCCCUUCGGGGCUCUUUGGUGAUUCAUGAUAACUUAACGGAUCGCAUGGCCUUGCGCCGGCGACGGUUCAUUCAAAUUUCUGCCCUAUCAACUUUCGAUGGUAAGGUAUUGGCUUACCAUGGUUUCAACGGGAAUCGGGGGGAAAUA
rnacentral:rRNA from 1 species